rnacentral:rRNA from 1 species
GACGAACGCUGGCGGCGUGCUUAACACAUGCAAGUCGAACGGAAAGGCCCUGCUUUUGUGGGGUGCUCGAGUGGCGAACGGGUGAGUAACACGUGAGUAACCUGCCCUUGACUUUGGGAUAACUUCAGGAAACUGGGGCUAAUACCGGAUAGGAGCUCCUGCUGCAUGGUGGGGGUUGGAAAGUUUCGGCGGUUGGGGAUGGACUCGCGGCUUAUCAGCUUGUUGGUGGGGUAGUGGCUUACCAAGGCUUUGACGGGUAGCCGGCCUGAGAGGGUGACCGGCCAAAUGGGAACUGGGAUCCGGCCCAGCCCCCUCGGGGAGGAAGAAUGGGGGAAUAUGGCCCAAGGGGGGAAGGCCUAAUGCGCAAACGCGGCGGGCGGGUUGCGGCCUUUCGGGUUGAAACCGGCUUUCGCCGGUGACGAGGCUGGGGGGAGGGAAUUGGUAAAGGAAGAACCGGCUAACUCGGU